rnacentral:rRNA from 1 species
AUCAUUGAGNGGUCAAGUCCNCAUGGCCCUUACGGGCUGGGCUACACACGUGCUACANUGGUGGUGACAGUGGGCAGCAGAGCACGCGAGUGUGAGCUAAUCUCCAAAAGCCAUCUCAGUUCGGAUUGCACUCUGCAACUCGAGUGCAUGAAGUUGGAAUCGCUAGUAAUCGCGGAUCAGCAUGCCGCGGUGAAUACGUUCCCGGGCCUUGUACACACCGCCCGUCACACCAUGGGAGUUGGUUUUACCCGAAGGCGCUGUGCUAACCGCAAGGAGGCAGGCGACCACGGUAGGGUCAGCGACUGGGGUGAAGUCGUAACAAGGUAGCCGUAGGGGAACCUGCGGUUGGA